GCGGCAUGGCAAUUCAAGAUGUGAAAGCCCCGGGCUUAACCCGGGAAUUGCAUCUGAAACUGCUGUGGCUUGAGUCCUGGAGGGGGUAGUGGAAUUCCCAGUGUAGCGGUGAAAUGCGUAGAUAUUGGGAGGAACACCGGUGGCGAAGGCGGUUACCUGGACAGUGACUGACGCUGAUGCGCGAAAGCUAGGGGAGCAAAAGGGAUUAGAUACCCCUGUAGUC
rnacentral:rRNA from 1 species